rnacentral:rRNA from 1 species
ACGAACGCUGGCGGCGUGCUUAACACAUGCAAGUCGAGCGGUAAGGCUCCUUCGGGAGUACACGAGCGGCGAACGGGUGAGUAACACGUGAGCAAUCUGCCCUUCUCUUCGGAAUAACCAUUGGAAACGAUGGCUAAUGCCGAAUACGACCUCCCUUCGCAUGUUGGGAGGUGGAAAGCUCCGGCGGAGAAGGAUGAGCUCGCGGCCUAUCAGCUUGUUGGCGGGGUAAUGGCCCACCAAGGCGACGACGGGUAGCCGGCCUGAGAGGGUGACCGGCCACACUGGGACUGAGACACGGCCCAGACUCCUACGGGAGGCAGCAGUGGGGAAUAUUGGACAAUGGGCGAAAGCCUGAUCCAGCAACGCCGCGUGAGGGAUGACGGCCUUCGGGUUGUAAACCUCUUUCAGCAGGGACGAAGCGAAAGUGACGGUACCUGCAGAAGAAGGACCGGCCAACUACGU